AUUGAACGCUGGCGGCAUGCCUUACACAUGCAAGUCGAACGGUAACAGGUUAAGCUGACGAGUGGCGAACGGGUGAGUACUAUAUCGGAACGUGCCCAGUAGUGGGGGAUAGCCCGGCGAAAGCCGGAUUAAUACCGCAUACGACCUACGGGCGAAAGGGGGGGAUCGCAAGACCUCUCGCUAUUGGAGCGGCCGAUAUCAGAUUAGGUAGUUGGUGGGGUAAAGGCCUACCAAGCCUGCGAUCUGUAGUUGGUCUGAGAGGACGACCAGCCACACUGGGACUGAGACACGGCCCAGACUCCUACGGGAGGCAGCAGUGGGGAAUUUUGGACAAUGGGCGCAAGCCUGAUCCAGCAAUGCCGCGUGCAGGAAGAAGGCCUUCGGGUUGUAAACUGCUUUUGUCAGGGAAGAAAGCCUGUGGGUUAAUACCUCGUGGGGAUGACGGUACCUGAAGAAUAAGCACCGGCUAACUACGUGCCAGCCGCCGCCGUAA
rnacentral:rRNA from 1 species